rnacentral:rRNA from 1 species
GACGUAGGGGACGAGCGUUGUCCGGAUUCAUUGGGCGUAAAGCGUGCGUAGACGGCUAUCUAAGUCGGGUGUGAAAGCCCCGGGCUCAACCUGGGAAUUGCAUUCGAGACUGAAUAGCUAGGGUACGGUAGAGGGAAGUGGAAUUUCCGGUGUAGCGGUGAAAUGCGUAGAUAUCGGAAGGAACAUCAGUGGCGAAAGCGACUUCCUGGACCAGUACCGACGUUCAGGCACGAAAGCGUGGGGAGCAAACAGG